rnacentral:lncRNA from 1 species
AGCAACCAAGCAGGCGCAAGAAGCAACCAGCCGCGCUAUCCGCUCCCGUUGCUACCGGAAUGCCUCUUCAGGUUAGCGAUUACAGCUGGCAGCAGACGAAGACUGCGGUCUUUCUGUCUCUGCCCCUCAAAGGCGUGUGCGUCAGAGACACGGACGUGUUCUGCACGGAAAACUAUCUGAAGGUCAACUUUCCUCCAUUUUUAUUUGAGGCAUUUCUUUAUGCUCCCAUAGACGAUGAGAGCAGCAAAGCAAAGAUUGGGAAUGACACCAUUGUCUUCACCUUGUAUAAAAAAGAAGCGGCCAUGUGGGAGACCCUUUCUGUGACGGGUGUUGACAAAGAGAUGAUGCAAAGAAUUAGAGAAAAAUCUAUUUUACAAGCACAAGAGAGAGCAAAAGAAGCUACAGAAGCAAAAGCUGCAGCAAAGCGGGAAGAUCAAAAAUACGCACUAAGUGUCAUGAUGAAGUGGCUACACAAACAAGCUGAGGCACGAAGAGCAAUGAAUACUGACAUAGCUGAACUUUGCGAUUUAAAAGAAGAAGAAAAGAACCCAGAAUGGUUGAAGGAUAAAGGAAACAAAUUGUUUGCAACGGAAAACUAUUUGGCAGCUAUCAAUGCAUAUAAUUUAGCCAUAAGACUAAAUAAUAAGAUGCCACUAUUGUAUUUGAACCGGGCUGCUUGCCACCUAAAACUAAAAAACUUACACAAGGCUAUUGAAGAUUCUUCUAAGGCACUGGAAUUAUUGAUGCCACCUGUUACAGACAAUGCUAAUGCAAGAAUGAAGGCACAUGUACGACGUGGAACAGCAUUCUGUCAACUAGAAUUGUAUGUAGAAGACCUGAAAGAUGUCUGAAAAUUCCAGUGACAGUGAUUCAUCUUGUGGUUGGACUGUCAUCAGUCAUGAGGGGUCAGAUAUAGAAAUGUUGAAUUCUGUGACCCCCACUGACAGCUGUGAGCCCGCCCCAGAAUGUUCAUCUUUAGAGCAAGAGGAGCUUCAAGCAUUGCAGAUAGAGCAAGGAGAAAGCAGCCAAAAUGGCACAGUGCUUAUGGAAGAAACUGCUUAUCCAGCUUUGGAGGAAACCAGCUCAACAAUUGAGGCAGAGGAACAAAAGAUACCCGAAGACAGUAUCUAUAUUGGAACUGCCAGUGAUGAUUCUGAUAUUGUUACCCUUGAGCCACCUAAGUUAGAAGAAAUUGGAAAUCAAGAAGUUGUCAUUGUUGAAGAAGCACAGAGUUCAGAAGACUUUAACAUGGGCUCUUCCUCUAGCAGCCAGUAUACUUUCUGUCAGCCAGAAACUGUAUUUUCAUCUCAGCCUAGUGACGAUGAAUCAAGUAGUGAUGAAACCAGUAAUCAGCCCAGUCCUGCCUUUAGACGACGCCGUGCUAGGAAGAAGACCGUUUCUGCUUCAGAAUCUGAAGACCGGCUAGUUGCUGAACAAGAAACUGAACCUUCUAAGGAGUUGAGUAAACGUCAGUUCAGUAGUGGUCUCAAUAAGUGUGUUAUACUUGCUUUGGUGAUUGCAAUCAGCAUGGGAUUUGGCCAUUUCUAUGGCACAAUUCAGAUUCAGAAGCGUCAACAGUUAGUCAGAAAGAUACAUGAAGAUGAAUUGAAUGAUAUGAAGGAUUAUCUUUCCCAGUGUCAACAGGAACAAGAAUCUUUUAUAGAUUAUAAGUCAUUGAAAGAAAAUCUUGCAAGGUGUUGGACACUUACUGAAGCAGAGAAGAUGUCCUUUGAAACUCAGAAAACGAACCUUGCUACAGAAAAUCAGUAUUUAAGAGUAUCCUUGGAGAAGGAAGAAAAAGCCUUAUCCUCAUUACAGGAAGAGUUAAACAAACUAAGAGAACAGAUUAGAAUAUUGGAAGAUAAAGGGACAAGUACUGAAUUAGUUAAAGAAAAUCAGAAACUUAAGCAGCAUUUGGAAGAGGAAAAGCAGAAAAAACACAGCUUUCUUAGUCAAAGGGAGACUCUGUUGACAGAAGCAAAGAUGCUAAAGAGAGAACUGGAGAGAGAACGACUAGUAACUACGGCUUUAAGGGGGGAACUCCAGCAGUUAAGUGGUAGUCAGUUACAUGGCAAGUCAGAUUCUCCCAAUGUAUAUACUGAAAAAAAGGAAAUAGCAAUCUUACGGGAAAGACUCACUGAGCUGGAACGGAAGCUAACCUUCGAACAGCAGCGUUCUGAUUUGUGGGAAAGAUUGUAUGUUGAGGCAAAAGAUCAAAAUGGAAAACAAGGAACAGAUGGAAAAAAGAAAGGGGGCAGAGGAAGCCACAGGGCUAAAAAUAAGUCAAAGGAAACAUUUUUGGGUUCAGUUAAGGAAACAUUUGAUGCCAUGAAGAAUUCUACCAAGGAGUUUGUAAGGCAUCAUAAAGAGAAAAUUAAGCAGGCUAAAGAAGCUGUGAAGGAAAAUCUGAAAAAAUUCUCAGAUUCAGUUAAAUCCACUUUCAGACACUUUAAAGAUACCACCAAGAAUAUCUUUGAUGAAAAGGGUAAUAAAAGAUUUGGUGCUACAAAAGAAGCAGCUGAAAAACCAAGAACAGUUUUUAGUGACUAUUUACAUCCACAGUAUAAGGCACCUACAGAAAACCAUCAUAAUAGAGGCCCUACUAUGCAAAAUGAUGGAAGGAAAGAAAAGCCAGUUCACUUUAAAGAAUUCAGAAAAAAUACAAAUUCAAAGAAAUGCAGUCCUGGGCAUGAUUGUAGAGAAAAUUCUCAUUCUUUCAGAAAGGCUUGUUCUGGUGUAUUUGAUUGUGCUCAACAAGAGUCCAUGAGCCUUUUUAACACAGUGGUGAAUCCUAUAAGGAUGGAUGAAUUUAGACAGAUAAUUCAAAGGUACAUGUUAAAAGAACUGGAUACUUUUUGUCACUGGAACGAACUUGAUCAGUUCAUCAAUAAGUUUUUCCUAAACGGUGUCUUUAUACAUGAUCAGAAGCUCUUCACUGACUUUGUUAAUGAUGUUAAAGAUUAUCUUAGAAACAUGAAGGAAUAUGAAGUAGAUAAUGAUGGAGUAUUUGAGAAGUUGGAUGAAUAUAUAUAUAGACACUUCUUUGGUCACACUUUUUCCCCUCCAUAUGGACCCAGGUCGGUUUACAUAAAACCGUGUCAUUACAGUAGUUUGUAACAUUUGUAGAUUGGAUAGCAUUUUUAUGAUUUGAUGAGUUUCUUGUAAGGUUACCGUUUCUAAGAGUUGUGCUUUAUGGCCACUGAGAGAAUUCAGAAUAAAUUGAAAGAUGGAGUCUAAAAAUUAUUAGCUGUUACAAAUGGAACAUUUCAUUAUAACGUGAUCACUUUGACUUGAGCAAAUGGUUUAAUUUUUAUCUUAAAAAUCAGUUAAGAAUAUAUAAAAUCCUACUUUGGCCAAGUUUGUUUCUUUUCAUUAUAGUUUAUAUGAAAAGAUCACCUUAAGUGAAAUUAUUUUCCUUUAAUCUUUUAUGUAUUUAUUCACUUUUGGAAGCUAGGAAUGAGCAACACAAAUUUUACUCUGAAGUCAGAAGAGCUCAUAUAUAAUAAUUCUAAUGUCCCACCUAUUUUCACUUGUCCAUUCCAUGUACCAGCUUAGUUAUGAUACUUAGUCACAUAAUUAUCUUUGAUAAAGGUAGAGGCACAAAGAGGCAAACUAAGCAAGUCAAAUUCUAAUGUGUGUACUUCAUAAUAAUUUUUUAUCCAUUUUCAUCUUUAUAUUCUGUAACAUGAAACUUACCUAAUCUUCAAAUGUUAGCUUCAUUUUUUACCUUUGAAAUACUUAAUCUUUCUGAAUAAAUAUAAUGUGUCUAUAAAAUAAUGAGACUGAUUCUGGUGUCUUUAGUCAUUAAGCUGGUAUCUAGUCCUAUAAUGAACAAAGGUGAAGCUGCCUUGAGGAGACAAGUGAAAAAUUUUUGCUUCAAAGGAGCUCACAAGCUAAGUAAAUAAAUGAAAUUAAGGUAUGGGGCAUGGUGGCCUCAGGCUGUCUGGAGGUGUUUGGAAAGGCUUCUUGAGUGAGGUGGCCUUUGAACUGAACUUAGUUUUUAAAGUAGCUUUUGGAAGAGAAAUGAGGAUUUGCUAUGCAGACAGGGAAGGGAAUUUCACUUAAAAGGAAGGUCAUUUGGAGAUGUGAAGAUACACUGCUUUAAGGAAGCAGGGUAGAGCUGGAGGAUAAGAGAUGCAGACCAUGAAGGGCCCCAUUUUAUGCUAAAGGUUUUGUCCUGUAGGACAUGGAGAACUUCUGAAGAAUUUUCAAGGCGGGUGGGAUAAGAUUAUAUUGUAUUUUAGAUUACAGUAGUCCCCCCUUAUCUUCAGGAUAUAUGUUCCA